rnacentral:rRNA from 1 species
UCCUACGGGAGGCAGCAGUGGGGAAUAUUGCACAAUGGAGGAAACUCUGAACCAGCAACGCCGCGUGAGUGAAGACGGUUUUCGGAUUGUAAACCUCUGUCCUCUGUGAAGAUAAUGACGGUAGCAGAGGAGGAAGCUCCGGCUAACUACGUGCCAGCAGCCGCGGUAAUACGUAGGGAGCGAGCGUUGUCCGGAUUUACUGGGUGUAAAGGGUGCGUAGGCGGGUUAGCAAGUCAG